rnacentral:tRNA from 1 species
GGAGACGUAGCUCAGUGGUAGUGUACUUGCUUAGCAUGCAUGAGACCCUGGGUUCAAUUCUCAGCACCAUCA